UAGGGAAUCUUCGGCAAUGGACGAAAGUCUGACCGAGCAACGCCGCGUGAGUGAAGAAGGUUUUCGGAUCGUAAAACUCUGUUGUUAGAGAAGAACAAGGACGUUAGUAACUGAACGUCCCCUGACGGUAUCUAACCAGAAAGCCACGGCUAACUACGUGCCAGCAGCCGCGGUAAUACGUAGGUGGCAAGCGUUGUCCGGAUUUAUUGGGCGUGAAGCGAGCGCAGGCGGUUUCUUAAGUCUGAUGUGAAAGCCCCCGGCUCAACCGGGGAGGGUCAUUGGAAACUGGGAGACUUGAGUGCAGAAGAGGAGAGUGGAAUUCCAUGUGUAGCGGUGAGAUGCGUAAAUAUAUAGAGGAACACCAGUGGCGAAGGCGGCUCUCUGGUCUGUAACUGACGCUGAGGCUCGAAAGCGUGGGGAGCAAACAGG
rnacentral:rRNA from 1 species